GCCUAACACAUGCAAGUCGAACGAGAGAGAGGGAGCUUGCUUCCUCGAUCGAGUGGCGAACGGGUGAGUAACGCGUGAGGAACCUGCCUCAAAGAGGGGGACAACAGUUGGAAACGACUGCUAAUACCGCAUAAGCCCACGGGUCGGCAUCGACCAGAGGGAAAAGGAGCAAUCCGCUUUGAGAUGGCCUCGCGUCCGAUUAGCUAGUUGGUGAGGUAACGGCCCACCAAGGCAACGAUCGGUAGCCGGACUGAGAGGUUGAACGGCCACAUUGGGACUGAGACACGGCCCAGACUCCUACGGGAGGCAGCAGUGGGGAAUAUUGCACAAUGGGGGAAACCCUGAUGCAGCGACGCCGCGUGGAGGAAGAAGGUCUUCGGAUUGUAAACUCCUGUUGUUGAGGAAGAUAAUGACGGUACUCAACAAGGAAGUGACGGCUAACUACGUGCCAGCAGCCGCGGUAAAACGUAGGUCACAAGCGUUGUCCGGAAUUACUGGGUGUAAAGGGAGCGCAGGCGGGAAGACAAGUUGGAAGUGAAAUCCAUGGGCUCAACCCAUGAACUGCUUUCAAAACUGUUUUUCUUGAGUAGUGCAGAGGUAGGCGGAAUUCCCGGUGUAGCGGUGGAGUGCGUAGAUAUCGGGAGGAACACCAGUGGCGAA
rnacentral:rRNA from 1 species